CAGCCGCCACGGUAAUACGAAGGGGGCUAGCGUUGCUCGGAAUUACUGGGCGUAAAGGGAGCGUAGGCGGAUGUUUAAGUCAGAGGUGAAAGCCAAGGGCUCAACCUUGGAACUGCCUUUGAUACUGGACAUCUUGAGUGUGGGAGAGGUAAGCGGAACUCCGAGUGUAGAGGUGAAAUUCGUAGAUAUUCGGAGGAACACCAGUGGCGAAGGCGGCUUACUGGCCCAUUACUGACGCUGAGGCUCGAAAGCGUGGGGGGCAAACAGGAUUAGAUACCCCCGUAGUCCCUGUCUCUUAUAC
rnacentral:rRNA from 1 species